AGGCUUGCAGAGAGAGAGGCAGAGUCUGAUCUGCAGCCUCAGUUGCAGCUGUUGAUCAGCCAUUACCUUUCUCUUUCUCUCCA
rfam:Myotis lucifugus cont2.32010, whole genome shotgun sequence.